rnacentral:rRNA from 1 species
AUGGGUGCCAAGACCACCUCAUGCUUCACCUUCCUCAAGGAAGCGCUGGUCCUCCCCACGCGAAACCCCAAGCUCUUCGCCCCCAUCCUCAUCCUCCUGGCCAUCAUCGCCUUCCUCGUCCCCGCGGUCAACGUGGUCCUCAUCCAGCCGCUCACCGCCGAGAUGCUCCGCCACGUCACCGAGAUGCAGACCACCGACCCCUCGAGCGCCGAGUUCGCCAGGCUCCUGGAGGAGAUACGACAGGAGGCCAGGGAGCUCGUCCUCAUCGCCGUCGGCCUCUUUUUCGUCACCCUGGCGCUCGUCUUCGCCAAGCAGAUCCUCGCCUUCUCCGCGGCCUCCACGACCUACUCCGGCGACCGCUACUCGCUCGCCGAGCUCCUCCGCAGGCUGACCAAGUGGGCCAACCUGAGAGGCCCUCUCGUCACCAUGGGCGUGGUCACCGCGCUCCAGCUCACGUUCAUGGCGCUCCUGGGCGCCUACCUCUCCACCGUCAUGCGCCACGCGGGGGCGCUGUCCGUGCAAGGCGCGCUCUUCGUCCUCGCCUUCCUGGCCUUCAUGUACUUCGGGGUGGUGGCGGUGGUGGGCGUCGCCGUGUCGGUGGCCGACGAGGAGUGCCGCGGCGUGCGCGCGAUCCUGCGGGCGUGGCGGCUCAUGACGCGGGUGAGCAGGAAGGAGGGCGCCCUGCUGGCGGCGGUGAUGGUCCUCCUGUCGACCGCUGUGAGCCCGGUGUAUGCGCUAGCGCUCGUGUACGCCAAGAAGAGCAUGGCGGUGGGGCUGUGCCUGCUGUUUGGGUAUGCUCUUCUUUCUGCUGCGGUGGAGCUGUUCUACAUGGCGGCGGCCACGGUGUACUACUAUGAGGCCAUGGAGAGCAAGGAGGUGGUCCUGGCUUUUGAUGGCUACUAUGCCGAGAUACCUUCCCGUGAGGCAAAUGUCUGA